UCCCCCAGACAACCAGAGCCUGAAAGGGGCUCCACUGCCCAUGUGCCCAGACACGCAAGGCCAUGAGUGGUGCGGUGGGCAGCAGGUGGGGGAAAGUGUGGUGCAUUGGGAAAACUACCUGUUGCCAGGCUGCUCCUUCCCCUGGCCUCUAUGGCCAAGAUGGCUGCUGGCAUCCCAGGAGCAGCUGCUGGCAGUAUGACAGCCCACACAAUUAGGCAGUGAGGCAGGAACUCCUUGGUUCCCAGGAAAGUGAGACCAGCUGCAGAAAGGGAACUACAGGAAAUUGGCAGAGGAGAUGGUACCAUCUUCAGUUUAUUAAACCUCAGCCAGUCCACUGCUGUGAUAACAUUGGAAAGAAUAACCAUUACAAUAAUAUUAAGAAACUGCAGCAAUGACAGAAGAACUGAAGUUGAUUUCAUUAAAUAGCUCUUCAUUGCAACAGACAAA